AACUCGGGAUUCUUGACUCCAUGUUGAUCUAAGUCAUGCAUUGCAUUUUCCCUUUCACAUGAUUUCUAACUUGAGCGUCGGAGACGUCUAACGAAUGUUUGCAGGUAUCGCCCUAAAGGCAGGGGGAAUUAUAAAGAUUGAUGCAGAAUAUAAUCGAUUUCUCUUUAGUAUAUAAUCGAUUGUCUAGUAUCAAUAAUCGAUUACGUUGAUAUUAUUUAUUUUUUUCUUUUACUUUUUCCAUUUUUGCUAAUGGCAAAAGGGGGAAGAAUAAGGGACAUGCACUAAUUUUUUAUUGGCAUAAAUUGAGGGGGAAUGCAUAUGUUGAGGGGGAACUAAUUGC
rnacentral:lncRNA from 1 species